AUGGAAUCUGGCAAAACAACAAAGAAAGAAACAAAAGUACAUGCAGCUGUGGAAACUCCAAAGUCAAAAGCAGGACUUGAAAAAAAAGAAGGAAAAGCAACAAAGGCAGCAAUGCAAGAUAAAUCAAAGAUGAAACAAGGAAAUCCUGGAAAAGAGAAAGAAUUGAAAUCUCCAGCUGCCACAAAAGAUAAAGAACAUGCUAAAGAAAAGGAAGGGAAGAAUCCUACAUCUUUAAAAGAAAAAGUAUUUACAGGUCCUUCUAACAUGACAAAGGUGGCUAGACUUUCUCCGCACAACCUUCAGAAAAAAGCAGAUUCCCUGAAAGGAAAAAAUCCCAAGAAUCCAGAGACCAUAAAAGAAAAAGAGAGUGGAAAAAGAAAAGAUGUGAAGCCUCCAACAGCCUUAAAGGAAAAAGACUCUUCAAAACGAAAAGAAAUUAAGGCUUCAACUAAUCCUAAGGAAAAAGCUGCAGUGAAAAAGGAGGGGGAGAAGAAAGCUUCCUCAGAGAACCCGCAUGAACACAAGCAUGAACGUGUUAAACAUGACAAAGCUGCCUCUCAGACAAAGCCAGCUAGCAGAAUGCUUCAGACAUUAGAUGAAUUCAGCCAAGGCAAGAACGAGGAAGCCGAGCUUGGUGACCACAGUGGUGGCCAGAAAGUGGGUUGCCUGGAGGGGUAGUGUGAUUACUCACCUUUCUUGCUAAAUGAAAUUAGUCCUGCUGCACAAUUAGCCCAAUCUCAUCCACAUAGCAGCAGGAAAAGAAAUUGCCUUGGUAGGACAUUCUCAAACAUCAGAGCACUUUGUCACAAACCAGUAUACUGGACUAUUCAGGGCUUUACUCUCGCAUACUACAGUACACUCCACAGCCAAGCCCUUGGUGUUUAGAUACUUGAAGGGAAAAAAAAAAAAAAAAAGAAAAUACUUGCUAAAUUUCUUUUAGCAUAAAAUCUCUAUUCUCAAAUGAUAAAUGGUUGCUUUGGAGAACAGUGGUUGUUUUGAGUUUCACUUGAUGACUGGAAGUAUUAAUCUGCAGGCACUGGUGGUAAUAGUGCUUCUUCCUGCUGUGUGCCAAGGAGUGCUCUUGAGUUAACAGUUUGAAUUAUAAAAGCUUAAUUCUGUACAAAGCAGUGGCCUCCUUUUUCACUUUGAUUCAAUGCAGCUUCAAACCAUUUUUCUUAUGUCUCCUGCUAUGAGACUGAGAAGUAUCACAUGACUGAAAUACUAUGGAAUUUCAGAAAAUAUAUUGGUCCCAUAGGGAAAAGUUUAAAUUAGAGUGUUUUGUGUAUGUCAGGGAAAGAAAGUAAAACAGGGGAAUUCAUUCCUUAUGUAAUUCUGCUGAAACUGCCUGCAAUAUACAGGGAAACUUUUACAGCCUUAUUUUUUCCAUUUAAAUUAGAUACAUCAGAGAAAAAAUUAAUAUUGAUGUUUGUAGGGCUACAAAACUGGAGCCCUGCAGAAUAAAUUCUCUUCAAUGAAAGAUUUCAGAAUUUUAAACUUUGGGCUUACUCAAAAUCAGUAUUUUUUAAAAAUAUUCAUAACAUCUAUUUUUUUACUCUUUAUAGCUUUAUGAAGUCCUCGCAAUUGUUUAAUUUUGUAUUUGAA
ensembl:lncRNA